AGGCAGGUGUCUCUUUUAUUUUGGUGUCAUUUCCCUCAGAUAUCAUCUCCAGGCAGGUGUCUCUUUUAUUUUGGUGUCAUUUCCCUCAGAUAUCAUCUCCAGGCAGGUGUCUCUUUUAUUUUGGUGUCAUUUCCCCUCACAGAUGAUCUCCAGGCAGGUCUCUCUUUUAUUUUGGUGCCAUUUCCCCUCAGAGAUGAUUCCCAGGAUCUCCAGGCAGGUGUCUCUUCUUUUUUCAUGGCAUUUCCCCUCAGAGAUGAUCUUCAGGAUCUCCAGGCAGGUGUCUCUUUUAUUUUGGUGCCAUUUCCCUCAGAGAUGAUCUCCAGGCAGGUGUCUCUUUUAUUUUACUGCCAUAUCCCUCAGAUAUCAUCUCCAGGCAGGUGUCUCUUCUGUUUUAGUGCCAUUUCCCCUCACAGAUGAUCUCCAUGCAGGUGUCUCUCUUCUUUUGGUGCCAUUUCCCCUCAGAGAUGAUUCCCAGGAUCUCCAGGCAGGUCUCUCUUUUAUUUUGGUGUCAUUUCCCUCAGAUAUCAUCUCCAGGCAGGUGUCUCUUCUUUUUUAACGGCAUUUCCCCUCACAGAUGAUCUUCAGGAUCUCCAGGCAGGUGUCUCUUUUAUUUUGGUGCCAUUUCUCCUCAGAGAUGAUCUCCAUGCAGGUGUCUCUUUUCUUUUAGGGCCAUUUUCCCUCAGAGAUGAUCUCCAUGCAGGUGUCUCUCUUCUUUUGGUGUCAUUUCCCUCAGAGAUGAUCUCCAGGCAGGUGUCUCUUUUAUUUUGGUGCCAUUUCUCCUCAGACAUGAUCUCCAGGCAGGUCUCUCUUUUAUUUUACUGCCAUAUCCCUCAGAUAUCAUCUCCAGGCAGGUAUCUCUUCUGUUUUAAUGGCAUUUCCCCUCACAGAUCAUCUCCAGGAUCUCCAGGCAGGUGUCUCUUUUAUUUUGGCGCCAUUUCUCCUCAGAGAUGAUCUCCAGGCAGGUGUCUCUUUUAUUUUGGUGUCAUUUCCCCUCAGAGAUGAUCUCCAGGCAGGUGUCUCUUUUAUUUUGGCGCCAUUUCUCCUCAGAGAUGAUCUCCAGGCAGGUGUCUCUUUUAUUUUGGUGUCAUUUCCCUCAGAUAUCAUCUCCAGGCAGGUGUCUCUUCUGUUUUAGUGCCAUUUCCCCUCAGAGAUGAUCUCCAGGCAGCUGUCUCUUUUCUUUUAGUGUCAUUUCCCUCACAGAUGAUCUCCAUGCAGGUGUCUCUUUUAUUUUGGUGCCAUUUCCCUCAGAUAUCAUCUCCAGGCAGGUGUCUCUUUUAUUUUGGUGCCAUUUCCCCUCAGAGAUGAUUCCCAGGAUCUCCAGGCAGGUGUCUCUUUUAUUUUGGUGCAGUAUCCCUCAGAUAUCAUCUCCAGGCAGGUGUCUCUUCUGCUUUAGUGCCAUUUCCCCUCACAGAUGAUCUCCAUGCAGGUGUCUCUUUUAUUUUGGUGUCAUUUCCCUCACAGAUGAUCUCCAGGCAGGUGUCUCUUUUAUUUUGGUGCCAUUUCCCCUCACAGAUGAUCUCCAGGCAGGUGUGUCUUUUAUUUUUGUGCCAUUUCCCCUCAGAGAUGAUUCCCAGGAUCUCCAGGCAGGUGUCUCUUCUUUUUUAAUGGCAUUUCCCCUCACAGAUGAUCUUCAGGAUCUCCAGGCAGGUGUCUCUUUUAUUUUGGCGCCAUUUCUCCUCAGAGAUGAUCUCCAGGCAGGUGUCUCUUUUAUUUUGGUGUCAUUUCCCUCAGAGAUGAUCUCCAGGCAGGUGUCUCUUUCCUUUUAGAGCCAUUUCCCCUCAGAGAUGAUCUCCAGGCAGGUGUCUCUUUUAUUUUGGUGUCAUUUCCCCUCAGAGAUCAUCUCCAGGAUCUCCAGGCAGGUGUCUCUUUUAUUUUACUGCCAUAUCCCUCAGAUAUCAUCUCCAGGCAGGUGUCUCUUUUUUUUUAACAGCAUUUCCCCUCACAGAUGAUCUUCAGGAUCUCCAGGCAGGUGUCUCUUUUAUUUUACUGCCAUAUCCCUCAGAUAUCAUCUCCAGGCAGGUGUCUCUUCUGUUUUAAUGGCAUUUCCCCUCACAGAUCAUCUCCAGGAUCUCCAGGCAGGUGUCUCUUUUAUUUUGGUGCCAUUUCCCCUCAGAGAUGAUCUCCAGGCAGGUGUCCCUUUUAUUUUGGUGCCAUUUCCCCUCAGAGAUGAUCUCCAGGCAGGUGUCUCUUUUAUUUUUGUGCCAUUUCCCCUCAGAGAUGAUUCCCAGGAUCUCCAGGCAGGUGUCUCUUCUUUUUUAAUGGCAUUUCCCCUCAGAGAUGAUCUUCAGGAUCUCCAGGCAGGUGUCUCUUUUAUUUUGGUGGAAUUUUCCUCAGAGAUGAUCUCCAGGCAGGUGUCUCUUUUAUUUUGGUGCCAUUUCUCCUCACAGAUGAUCUCCAGGCAGGUGUCUCUUUUAUUUUGGUGUCAUUUCCCUCAGACAUGAUCUCCAUGCAGGUGUCUCUUCUUUUUUAGUGCCAU